UACGAAGGGUGCAAACGUUGCUCGGAAUCAUUGGGCGUAAAGAGCUCGUAGGCGGCUUGUUGCGUCGACCGUGAAAACCCGUGGCUCAACUGCGGGCUUGCGGUCGAUACGGGCGGGCUAGAGUUCGGUAGGGGAGACUGGAAUUCCUGGUGUAGCGGUGAAAUGCGCAGAUAUCGGGAAGAACACCCGUGGCGAAGGCGGCUCUCUGGGACGGUACUGACGCUGAGACGCGAAAGCGUGGGGAGCGAACAGG
rnacentral:rRNA from 1 species